rnacentral:rRNA from 1 species
UAAGGAAUAUUGGUCAAUGGAGGCAACUCUGAACCAGCCAUGCCGCGUGCGGGAAGAAGGCCCUUUGGGUCGUAAACCGCUUUUAUCAGGGAAGAAUGACUAGGAUUUAUCCUGGGAGCGACGGUAUCUGAUGAAUAAGCACCGGCUAACUCCGUGCCAGCAGCCGCGGUAAUACGGAGGGUGCAAGCGUUAUCCGGAAUCACUGGGUUUAAAGGGUACGUAGGCGGGCUAAUAAGUCAGAAGUGAAAUCUCGCAGCUUAACUGCGAAACUGCUUUUGAAACUGUAAGUCUUGAAUUGGGUUGAGGUGCACGGAAUGCGUCAUGUAGCGGUGAAAUGCAUAGAUAUGACGUAGAACACCAAUUGCGAAGGCAGUGCACUGGACCUUAAUUGACGCUGAGGUACGAAAGCGUGGGUAGCGAACAGG